rnacentral:rRNA from 1 species
UACGAAGGGGGCUAGCGUUGCUCGGAAUUACUGGGCGUAAAGGGCGCGUAGGCGGAUAUUUAAGUCGGGGGUGAAAGCCCAGGGCUCAACCCUGGAAUUGCCUUCGAUACUGGAUAUCUUGAGUUCGGAGAGGUGAGUGGAAUGCCGAGUGUAGAGGUGAAAUUCGUAGAUAUUCGGCGGAACACCAGUGGCGAAGGCGACUCACUGGCCCGAUACUGACGCUGACGGAGCGAAGCGUG